UGCUAACUGUAUGGGGAUAUCCACAGAAAAUGUGCUAACUACAUUGUGAUAUGCAUACAAAAUGUGCUAACUGUAUGGGAUUAUCCAUACAAAAUGUGCUAACUGUAUGGGGAUAUCCAUACAAAAUUUGCUAACUGUAUGGGGAUAUCCACACAAAAUGUGCUAAUUGUAUGGGGAUGUCCAUACAAAACAUGCUUACUGUUUGGAGAUACAGGUAUGCUAACUUGAAUGUGCUAUUGACAGAGUUUAGCAUCUAGAAUGUAUAUAGGAUAUUUGCAUGGCUUAUUCACAGCCAAGUAGUGCUAAGGCACUGUAAAAAGCUGUAAACGUCAAAAUCAUGCUUUAGGUGAUGUACCAGGAUAUCUAGCGUGUAUAUACUAUACAAAACGUCCUUAGUGCUGUUAUGCCUGUUUACAUCCAAAAUGUUUUGGAGCACCUUGUAUGGCUAUAGACAUCAAAAUGUGCAAGUAAAAAAAAAUGUGUGUACUGUGUAUGGCAUCUUAACAUGAAAAACAUGCUAAGGUACGGUAUAGUUGGUGUUAUUCACAGGGGAUUUAAUUUUUGCUCUAUUUGUGGUUGCUAAUUAUACAAAAAUAACGCAAAAUUCAAUACCCAUUGAUUAUAAUCUCGAUGAAUGUAUAUUUAUACAAAUACAAUUGAUACAUUGGUAUGUACAGACUCGCACAAAAUAAUAACUGUUUAAUGCCGAAUACGGAAAUUAAACAACAACUCGGUGUUUAAUUUACUUGAUUUUCACAAAAUAAUUGUAAAGUAAAUCUCGUCACCCAAAUAUAAAGUACCCUCGUGAGUGUGAUAUUUUUGCAGGACCACGUUACACGAAAUUGAUAACUGGCUUACUUGUCCUGAUCAGAACACCGCCUGAAUAUUAGACUCGCAGAAUUAAAUAAUUGAUACGGUACUCUUUAAUAUAGCAGGUAUACAAACAAAACAUGUUGAGGUGCCAUGUGUCUCUUUAUGUUCAAACCAAAUCUUCUAGAGGCACUGUGCAGUAUGUAAAUAUACAAAACAAUAUUGUGUUUGGUAGAGGACAUCCAGAUUGUGCUGAGGCACUGCAUAAUAUUCAAUGUAUGCUGAUAUACAUACCGUGUAUGGCUGGAGACACUUAUAACGUGUUGUGCUAAUUAAAGGUACUGUGUAUGGCUGAAGACACGUAUAACAUGUUGUGCUAAUUAAAGGUACUGUGUAUGGCUGAAGACACUUAUAACGUGUUGUGCUAAUUAAAGGUACUGUGUAUGGCCGAAGACACUUAUAACGUGUUGUGCUAAUUAAAUGUAUUGUGUAUAGCAUGUAAACUUAUACCAGGUACGAAAGGAGAAAAAGGUACUGUGUAUGGCGUGUAAACUUAUACCAGGUACGAAAGGAGAAAAAGGUACUGUGUAUGGCUGAACACACUUAUAACAUGUUGUGCUAAUUAAAUGUAUUGUGUAUGGCGUGUAAACUUAUACCAGGUACGAAAGGAGAAAAAGGUACUGUGUAUGGGUGUUUACAUCGAAAAUGUGCUAAAUGUCUGUAGAUUGUAAUGUGUAUGGCUGUGAAAAAUGUACAUUUGUAAGGCUAACCAUUUUAUUUUGAACAAAUUAUCUUCAGGUUUUGUGAGUGAGUGUAAGUCGAGAUUCGCCAGCUUUGCCCGGAGGUAAUCCCUCAGUAAAAAAAAAACUGAUAACAUUUCAAAGUGUAUUGGCACAUCAUACAACUGUUGUCUGAUGAUGUUAACAUAGGUACACAGUGUACCUGUUAAUGUGAUAAGGAUAUUUGAAUGUUGAAACUGAUCAUGGAUUGUUUUUGAAUCACAUUCAGUGUGAGAGGAGUCUAGGUAAGACACAAAAUAAUCAUUCACUAUUUCUUCAUCUCAUUGUUCAUUUUUCUAUUCUUAAAAAUAAAAUUUGUUUGACAGUA
rnacentral:lncRNA from 1 species